rnacentral:misc_RNA from 1 species
UGAUUUACCAAUUAGUGGUAAAAGAUUUACAUGAAGAAACAACAUUUGUAGAAAUUGGAUUGACAGGGCGUUAGUAUCCCAUCAUUGUUUAGAGUUCCUUUCCUAACUUGUUUUAAGGGAUUAUCAAGGGGACCCUCGGACCAAAAUAAUCCAUUAGUCCUUCUCUUUGAACUCACUAAUUGGGGGCAUGAACCUGUCUUCUUUCUGAACGUUUAGCGAUCUUCGUUGGGUUUUGAGAAUUUUGUAAGAGAUCUAUGGAAUGAAAUUUCAGCCAGUGGACUAAUGCUUUCGUUACCUAUGAAAAUUAAGCUGCUAAGGGCCAAUUUAAA